UACGGAGGGGGGCUAGCGUUGUUCGGAAUUACUGGGCGUAAAGCGCACGUAGGCGGCUUUGUAAGUUAGAGGUGAAAGCCCGGGGCUCAACUCCGGAAUUGCCUUUAAGACUGCAUCGCUAGAAUUGUGGAGAGGUGAGUGGAAUUCCGAGUGUAGAGGUGAAAUUCGUAGAUAUUCGGAAGAACACCAGUGGCGAAGGCGACUCACUGGACACAUAUUGACGCUGAGGUGCGAAAGCGUGGGGGAGCAAACAGG
rnacentral:rRNA from 1 species